GCUCAGUAACACGUGGACAACGUGCCCUAAAGCGGAGCAUAAUCUCGGGAAACUGAGGAUAAUUCUCCAUAGACCAUGAGAUCUGGAAUGACUUAUGGUUCAAAGUUCCGGCGCUUUAGGAUCGGUCUGCGGCCUAUCAGGUAGUAGUGGGUGUAACGUACCCCCUAGCCAGUUACGGGUAUGGGCCUUGAGAGAGGGAGCCCAGAGUUGGAUUCUGAGACACGAAUCCAGGCCCUACGGGGCGCAGCAGUCGCGAAAACUUCACAAUGGGCGAAAGCCCGAUGAGGGAAUUCCUAGUGCUAGCACAUUUGUGUUAGCUUUUCCUUAGCGUAGAUAACUAGGGGAAUAAGGGCUGGGUAAGACGGGUGCCAGCCGCCGCGGUAAUACCCGCAGCCCGAGUGGUGGUCGAUUUUAUUGAGUCUAAAACGUUCGUAGCCGGUCUGAUAAAUCCCUGGGUAAAUCGGGUGGCUUAACCAUCCGAAUUCCGGGGAGACUGUCAGGCUUGGGAUCGGGAGAGGUAUGAGGUACUUCAGGGGUAGGGGUAAAAUCCUGUAAUCCUUGGAGGACCACCGGUGGCGAAGGCGUCUUGCUAAACGGAUCCGACGUGAGGGACGAACCCUGGGUCCAAACGGGAUUAAUACCCGGUAUCCGGGUGUAACGCUGCAAAUUGGUGUUGGGGACCUUCGGGGGUGUUCAUGCCGGAAAGAUUGUAAUCUGCUACUGGGGAA
rnacentral:rRNA from 1 species